rnacentral:rRNA from 1 species
GGAUAGGGGUGAAAGGCCAAUCAAACUCUGUGAUAGCUGGUUCUCCCCGAAAUGCAUUUAGGUGCAGCGUUACGUGUUUCUUGCCGGAGGUAGAGCUACUGGAUGGCCGAUGGGCCUUCACGGGUUACUGACGUCAGCUAAACUCCGAAUGCCGGUAAGUGAGAGCGUAGCAGUGAGACAGUGGGGGAUAAGCUUCAUUGUCGAGAGGGAAACAGCCCAGACCACCAACUAAGGCCCCUAAGCGUGUGCUAAGUGGGAAAGGAUGUGGAGUUGCUUAGACAACCAGGAGGUUGGCUUAGAAGCAGCCACCCUUGAAAGAGUGCGUAACAGCUCACUGGUCAAGUGAUUCUGCGCCGAUAAUGUAGCGGGGCUCAAGUACACCGCCGAAGUUGUGGCAAUGACCCUUUGGGGUUGUUGGGUAGGGGAGCGUCGUGUAGCCGGUGAAGCUGCGGUGUAAACCAGUGGUGGAGGCUAUGCGAGUGAGAAUGCAGGCAUGAGUAGCGAAAGAUGAGUGAGAAACUCAUCCGCCGGAUGAUCAAGGGUUCCAGGGUCAAGUUAAUCUGCCCUGGGUUAGUCGGGGCCUAAGGCGAGGCCGACAGGCGUAGUCGAUGGAUAACGGGUUGAUAUUCCCGUACCGGUGAAAAACCGCCCAUACUGAUAUUGUGAUGCUAACCAUGCGAAGCAUGAUGUGCAGGCUUUUGUUUGUGUGUUGUGUGGGUUGUGGGACCCGAUCUUUGGAGGUAAACGUGUUAACAGGUGUGACGCAGGAAGGUAGCCAAGCCACGCGAUGGUUGUCGUGGUCUAAGCGUGUAGGGUUGUCGGUUGUUAAAUGCGCCGGCUGUGUGCCUGAGACGUGAUGGGACCCUGUUUUUGGGGGAUUUGGUGAUCCUAUGCUGCCGAGAAAAGCAUCGGCGUGAGGUUUUAGCCGCCCGUACCCUAAACCGACACAGGUGAUCAGGUAGAGAAUACUAAGGCGAUCGAGAGAAUCAUGGUUAAGGAACUCGGCAAAAUGCCCCCGUAACUUCGGGAGAAGGGGGACCUUGAGCGUGAUGGGCACUUGCUGCCUGGAGCGUGUAUGGGUCGCAGAGACCAGGGGGAAGCGACUGUUUAUCAAAAACACAGGUCCGUGCGAAGUCGUAAGACGAUGUAUACGGACUGACUCCUGCCCGGUGCUGGAAGGUUAAGAGGAUUGGUUAGCUCUUUUGGGCGAAGCUGAGAAUUUAAGCCACAGUAAACGGCGGUGGUAACUAAAACCAACCUAAGGUAGCGAAAUUCCUUGUCGGGUAAGUUCCGACCUGCACGAAUGGAGUAACGACUUCCCUACUGUCUCAACCAUGAACUCGGCGAAAUUGCAGUACGAGUAAAGAUGCUCGUUUCGCGCAGCAGGACGGAAAGACCCCGUGACCUUUACUAUAGUUUGGUAUUGGUGUUUGGUUUGGCUUGUGUAGGAUAGGUGGGAGACUGUGAAGCAUGGACGCUAGUUUGUGUGGAGUCGUUGUUGAAAUACCACUCUGGUCAAUCUGGAUGUCUAACUUCGGGCCAUGAUCUGGUUCAGGGACAGUGCCUGAUGGGUAGUUUAACUGGGGCGGUUGCCUCCUAAAGUGUAACGGAGGCGCCCAAAGGUUCCCUCAGCCUGGUUGGCAAUCAGGUGUUGAGUGUAAGUGCACAAGGGAGCUUGACUGUGAGACUGGCAGGUCGAGCAGGGACGAAAGUCGGGACUAGUGAUCCGGCGGUACGUUGUGGAACGGCCGUCGCUCAACGGAUAAAAG